rnacentral:snRNA from 1 species
AGCUUUGUGCAGUGGGCGUAUCGUAGCCGGAGAGGUUUAUCUGAGGUGUGCUUAUUGCUAAUUGAAAAGUUUUCCCAUUACCCUCCCGUGACGACUUAAAAGAUGUAAUAAUC